rnacentral:misc_RNA from 1 species
AAAGUCGUAACAAGGUAACCGUAGGUGAACCUGCGGUUGGAUCAUUAAUAAAAUUUAAUUGAAGCGUUUUCUCGAUGGUUGUGGUUUAUCCCAACCUUAAAGAAGCGUUUUACCCCAAUUUUGUGAACUUGUAAUUUUGAUUGUUUGGGUAAGGGUUGACCUUCACUUUAUUGAAAGAGGUCUGGAAGUUGAGGCUAGCAAUAGUCUUAUGCCUUAUCCACGUUAAUAAAAUAUGCCUUAUUUUGAAAGAACUUGUCUUUACCGUUUAUUAUACAAAAAAAUAACAAACAACUUUUGACAACGGAUCUCUAGGCUCUC